GACGAACGCUGGCGGCGUGCCUAAUACAUGCAAGUCGAACGCAGUGGGGACGGGUGAGUAACACGUGGGUAACCUCCCAUCAGAGGGGAUAACACUUGGAAACAGGUGCUAAACCGAUACUGAUGGAUGGACCCGCGGUGCAUUAGCUAGUUGGUGAGGUAACGGCUCACCAAGGCCACGAUGCAUAGCCGACCUGAGAGGAUGACCGGCCACAUUGGGACUGAGACACGGCCCAGACUCCUACGGGAGGCAGCAGUGAGGAAUAUUGGUCAAUGGGCGUAAGCCUGAACCAGCCAAGUAGCGUGCAUGACGACGGCCUAUGGGUUGUAAACUGCUUUUAUGCGGGGAUAGGUACCGCAUGAAUAAGGACCGGCUAAUUCCGUGCCAGCAGCCGCGGUAAUUC
rnacentral:rRNA from 1 species